rnacentral:lncRNA from 1 species
CCCCCUCAAGAGAACCCAAACUAAAAGGGAAUAGCAUCUAUUUAUUCCAAAAAAGUAGUGAAAAGUCGAAUCAAAUUAGUUAUGCGUUGAGAUUAAGCUUAAACUGAAUAAAAUCAAACCUUUUUUUUUGUUGUCAAGAUUUUAUCACUUUAGUAGAUACCUUGCAAUAAUUUACUAUGCCUCAAUCCAAAAAAAUCAAGUGAAAAUGAUAGCUCGAUGCACAAAAAAUCUCACUCAAGGAAGAACCCCUCCAAACAACCUGGUUGAAACAAACAUCAAGGACUUCGCGCAAACGUGAUUCAAAGAAAGGCCACAACCUAAGAAAUGUGAUAUAUGUAACCUACCUGAUGCAGCCGUUGAAGGUUGAUUUCACGACUAGAACCAAUAACCUAUAUACCCUAAGAAGAUAACUAAAUCAUUGCUCCAACGAUUCCCUUCCUCGGAACUAGAUUCUAUACACCUCGAAAAUGGCAUUUAAAUAGAGGAAGACACUGAAAAGAAGAUAAAAGGGAAAAUAGAAGUUAUAUUAGUAGAAGGCAUGUAAAAAGUUUUAUGAUAUCGUCAAAAGAGAACGAAAGCUAGAAGCAGGCGGGUUACAGGUUCCAUUGUCCUGAGAUGAGAUAUGAGUGAUGAUGAACACCCCAGGGUACACGCUAGCGCCUUUGGUAGACAAUUUUGAACUUCAUUUCG